rnacentral:rRNA from 2 species
GGGUUGUGAGGUUAAGCGACUAAGCGUACACGGUGGAUGCCCUGGCAGUCAGAGGCGAUGAAGGACGUGCUAAUCUGCGAUAAGCGUCGGUAAGGUGAUAUGAACCGUUAUAACCGGCGAUUUCCGAAUGGGGAAACCCAGUGUGAUUCGUCACACUAUCAUUAACUGAAUCCAUAGGUUAAUGAGGCGAACCGGGGGAACUGAAACAUCUAAGUACCCCGAGGAAAAGAAAUCAACCGAGAUUCCCCCAGUAGCGGCGAGCGAACGGGGAGCAGCCCAGAGCCUGAAUCAGUGUGUGUGUUAGUGGAAGCGUCUGGAAAGGCGUGCGAUACAGGGUGACAGCCCCGUACACAAAAAUGCACAUACUGUGAGCUCGAUGAGUAGGGCGGGACACGUGGUAUCCUGUCUGAAUAUGGGGGGACCAUCCUCCAAGGCUAAAUACUCCUGACUGACCGAUAGUGAACCAGUACCGUGAGGGAAAGGCGAAAAGAACCCCGGCGAGGGGAGUGAAAAAGAACCUGAAACCGUGUACGUACAAGCAGUGGGAGCACGCUUAGGCGUGUGACUGCGUACCUUUUGUAUAAUGGGUCAGCGACUUAUAUUCUGUAGCAAGGUUAACCGAAUAGGGGAGCCGAAGGGAAACCGAGUCUUAACUGGGCGUUAAGUUGCAGGGUAUAGACCCGAAACCCGGUGAUCUAGCCAUGGGCAGGUUGAAGGUUGGGUAACACUAACUGGAGGACCGAACCGACUAAUGUUGAAAAAUUAGCGGAUGACUUGUGGCUGGGGGUGAAAGGCCAAUCAAACCGGGAGAUAGCUGGUUCUCCCCGAAAGCUAUUUAGGUAGCGCCUCGUGAAUUCAUCUCCGGGGGUAG